AGUGAACGCUGGCGGUAGGCCUAACACAUGCAAGUCGAACGGCAGCACAGUAAGAGCUUGCUCUUACGGGUGGCGAGUGGCGGACGGGUGAGGAAUACAUCGGAAUCUACUUUUUCGUGGGGGAUAACGUAGGGAAACUUACGCUAAUACCGCAUACGACCUACGGGUGAAAGCAGGGGAUCUUCGGACCUUGCGCGAUUGAAUGAGCCGAUGUCGGAUUAGUUAGUUGGCGGGGUAAGGCCCACCAAGGCGACGAUCCGUAGCUGGUCUGAGAGGAUGAUCAGCCACACGGGAACUGAGACACGGUCCAGACUCCUACGGGAGGCAGCAGUGGGGAAUAUUGGACAAUGGGCGCAAGCCUGAUCCAGCCAUACCGCGUGGGUGAAGAAGGCCUUCGGGUUGUAAAGCCCUUUUGUUGGGAAAGAAAAGCAGCAGGUUAAUACCCCGCUGUUCUGACGGUACCCAAAGAAUAAGCACCGGCUAACUUCGUG
rnacentral:rRNA from 1 species